rnacentral:rRNA from 1 species
AUUGAACGCUGGCGGCAUGCUUUACACAUGCAAGUCGAACGGCAGCACAGGGAGCUUGCUCCCGGGUGGCGAGUGGCGCACGGGUGAGUAAUACAUCGGAACGUGUCCUGUUGUGGGGGAUAACUGCUCGAAAGGGUGGCUAAUACCGCAUGAGACCUGAGGGUGAAAGCAGGGGAUCGCAAGACCUCGCGCAAUUGGAGCGGCCGAUGCCCGAUUAGCUAGUUGGUGAGGUAACGGCCCACCAAGGCAACGAUCGGUAGCCGGACUGAGAGGUUGAACGGCCACAUUGGGACUGAGACACGGCCCAGACUCCUACGGGAGGCAGCAGUGGGGAAUAUUGCACAAUGGGGGAAACCCUGAUGCAGCGACGCCGCGUGGAGGAAGAAGGUCUUCGGAUUGUAAACUCCUGUUGUUGGGGAAGAUAAUGACGGUACCCAACAAGGAAGCGACGGCUAACUACGUG